rnacentral:rRNA from 1 species
GACGUAGGGGGCGAGCGUUGUCCGGAUUUAUUGGGCGUAAAGCGCGCGCAGGCGGUUCGGAUAGUCGGGUGUGAAAAUCCGGGGCUCAACCCCGGACCUGCAUCCGAUACUUCCGGACUGGAGGCAGGUAGGGGAGAGCGGAAUUCCCGGUGUAGCGGAUGAAAUGCGCAGAUAUCGGGAAGAACACCGGUGGCGAAGGCGGCUCU